UACGAAGGGGGCUAGCGUUGCUCGGAAUCACUGGGCGUAAAGGGUGCGUAGGCGGGUCUUUAAGUCAGGGGUGAAAUCCUGGAGCUCAACUCCAGAACUGCCUUUGAUACUGAAGAUCUUGAGUUCGGGAGAGGUGAGUGGAACUGCGAGUGUAGAGGUGAAAUUCGUAGAUAUUCGGAAGAACACCAGUGGCGAAGGCGGCUCACUGGCCCAUUACUGACGCUGAGGCUCGAAAGCGUGGGGAGCAAACAGG
rnacentral:rRNA from 1 species